GUGCCAGCAGCCGCGGUAAUACGUAGGGUGCGAGCGUUGCCCGGAAUUAUUGGGCGUAAAGAGCUCGUAGGCGGUUUGUCGCGUCGGCCGUGAAAACCUGCCGCUUAACGGUGGGCGUGCGGUCGAUACGGGCAGACUUGAGUUCGGUAGGGGAGACUGGAAUUCCUGGUGUAGCGGUGAAAUGCGCAGAUAUCAGGAGGAACACCGGUGGCGAAGGCGGGUCUCUGGGCCGAUACUGACGCUGAGGAGCGAAAGCGUGGGGAGCGAACAGGAUUAGGUACCCUGGUAGUCC
rnacentral:rRNA from 1 species